GAGGCAAUAAAUCUGCAGAGGAGCCAAAUAGCUCAGUUGCAUAAGCCAGAUUCCUGGCAAACUGCCCUAACUAAUCCAGACCUGCGGGAGCCAGAGCUGGAAUUAGAGAGGAGGCAUAAUGCGAUUUACUCUAUCAGGCUGAAAGCAAAAGAGAGUCAUUCUGCAGAUUGGAUUUCUGGGAAGCCGUGGGGGUUCUGGGUGCACCAUCUGUUCUAUCGACAGGUCACUAUUCGUAAUGGCAUAUGGUAUUGCUGAGAAGCCUGUCCCUGAAGCAUCUAGCCGGUGGCUAUGUUACCUGACCCCGAGAAGGGCCGGCUCUCAGGUGAUUCUGGGCUAGGACGCAGCAGCUUUGGAUUCGAUUCCUGUCUCUGACACAGUCCUCGGGAUGAAACCAAGCCCUUUUGGCAGCAUUUUAGAAACAAUGAGAGAAAAGAUUAAGAACAUAAGAACGGCCAGACUGGGUCAGACCAAAGGUCCAUCUAGCCCAGUAUCCUGUCUCCAACAGUGCCAGGUGCUCCAGAGGGAGUGAACAGAACAGGUCAUCAAGAGCCUGGGUCUCAGUUUGAUUAAAGCAGUCCCAGGAUCCCCAGCCGGCCUCACUGCAACGCUACAGAAACCAGAGAGGGGCCGGUACAAAAUGCAGCCCCUGUCUGGAGAAAAGCCCUCAGGCCCAGAGCUGCACAAGGACGAAGUCAAUGUGACACUGAGCGUCCCAACGCCUAACUUUUCAGUGCCUAGAAAACCACAGGAACAGCCUGGCGAUCCACCAAGCCUGAGUUAGCGGCUGUUGUGUAUUUGGUUGUCAUGGUUUUGUUGCUAUGGCAACUGAGUUAGAUUAUUAUGGGUUAGCUCAACCGGUUUCAACCGGUUGAGGAGCUCUCUGUAUAUAUGUAAAUAAA